GCCAGGUGCGAUGGCACGUGCCUGUAGUCCCAGCUACUCAGGAGGCUGAGGCUGGAGGACCUCUCGAGUCCAGGAGUUCUGGGCUGUAGUGUGCUAUGCCGAUCAAGUUCAGCAUCAAUAUGGUAACCUCCUGGGAGCGGGGGACCACCAGGUUGCCUAAGGUGGGGUAAACCAGACCAGGUCAGAAAUGGAGCAGGUCAAAACUCCUGUGCUGAUCAGUAGUGGGAUCGCGUCUGGGAAUAGCCACUGCACUCCAGCCUGGGCAACAUAGCAAGACCCCAUCUCUU
ensembl:misc_RNA Metazoa_SRP Metazoan signal recognition particle RNA